rnacentral:rRNA from 1 species
CACGUAGGGGGCAAGCGUUGUCCGGAUUCAUUGGGCGUAAAGAGCUCGUAGGCGGUUCGUCGCGUCGGCUGUGAAAUCCCGAGGCUCAACCUCGGGUCUGCAGUCGAUACGGGCGGACUGGAGUUCGGCAGGGGAGACUGGAAUUCCUGGUGUAGCGGUGAAAUGCGCAGAUAUCAGGAGGAACACCGGUGGCGAAGGCGGGUCUCUGGGCCGAUACUGACGCUGAGGAGCGAAAGCGUGGGGAGCGAACAGG